rnacentral:rRNA from 1 species
UACGUAGGGUGCAAGCGUUGUCCGGAAUUAUUGGGCGUAAAGAGCUCGUAGGUGGUUUGUCGCGUUGUUCGUGAAAACUCACAGCUCAACUGUGGGCGUGCGGGCGAUACGGGCAGACUUGAGUACUGCAGGGGAGACUGGAAUUCCUGGUGUAGCGGUGGAAUGCGCAGAUAUCAGGAGGAACACCGAUGGCGAAGGCAGGUCUCUGGGCAUUAACUGACGCUGGAGGAGCGAAAGCAUGGGGAGCGAACAGG